UACGUAGGGGGCUAGCGUUGUCCGGAUUUAUUGGGCGUAAAGAGCGUGUAGGCGGCCAAGUAGGUCCGGUGUGAAAACUCGAGGCUUAACCUCGAGAUGUCAUCGGAAACCAUUUGGCUAGAGUCCGGAAGAGGAAAGUGGAAUUCCUGGUGUAGCGGUGAAAUGCGCAGAUAUCAGGAAGAACACCAAUGGCGAAAGCAGCUUUCUGGGACGGUACUGACGC
rnacentral:rRNA from 1 species